rnacentral:rRNA from 1 species
UCAAGAAUUUUCCCCAAUGGACGAAAGUCUGAGGGAGCGACGCCGCGUGCAGGAUGAAGUCUUUCGGGAUGUAAACUGCUUUUCUAAAGGAGCAAGUUUGCCGUAAGGUAAAUUGAGAGUACUUUAGGAAUAAGGGGCCGCUAACUUCGUGCCAGCAGCGGCGGUAAUACGAAGGCCCCGAGCGUUAUCCGGAUUUAUUGGGCGUAAAGCGUGCGUAGGCGGAUUUUUAAGUCAGUCGUUAAAUUCUAGGGCUUAACCUUGGAGCUGCGAUUGAAACUGGGAAUCUAGAGGCCGGGAGAGGAAAGCGGAAUUGCCGGUGUAGUAGUAAAAUGCGUUAAUAUCGGCAGGAACACCAAAUGCGAAAGCAGCUUUCUAGAACGGUUCUGACGCUCAGGCACUAAAGCGUGGGGAGCGAAUGGG